ACAGGGGUCUCGAGCGUUAAUCGGAAUCACUGGGCUUAAAGGGUGCGUAGGCGGAUCCGUAAGCGCUUUGUGAAAUCCCCCGGCUCAACCGGGGAACUGCAGGGCGAACUGUGGAUCUUGAGGAAACUAGAGGCCGGUAGAACGAUUGGUGGAGCGGUGGAAUGCGUAGAUAUCAAUCGGAAUGCCAAAAGUGAAGACAGCCGGCUGGGGUUUUCCUGACGCUGAGGCACGAAAGCGUGGGGAGCAAACCGGA
rnacentral:rRNA from 1 species